UACGUAGGGUGCAAGCGUUGUCCGGAAUUAUUGGGCGUAAAGAGCUCGUAGGCGGUUUGUCGCGUCGGCUGUGAAAUCCCGAGGCUCAACCUCGGGCCUGCAGUCGAUACGGGCAAACUAGAGUGUGGUAGGGGAGACUGGAAUUCCUGGUGUAGCGGUGGAAUGCGCAGAUAUCAGGAGGAACACCGAUGGCGAAGGCAGAUCUCUGGGCCGUAACUGACGCUGAGGAGCGAAAGCAUGGGGAGCGAACAGG
rnacentral:rRNA from 1 species